rnacentral:ncRNA from 1 species
UAAGAAUUAAUUUUAAGAAUUUUUUGCAUGUAACUUUUUUGAAGAUUUUAUUUUCUAAAUGAAUAUUCUUUAAUUUUCAGUAAUUAGUUUUAAUUUACAUUAGGUUUUUAAUUUGAUAAAUUUUUAUUAAAACAGGAAAAUGUUAUGCCAGCAUUCGCGGUUAUAUUUCAUGUUUAAGUUAAUUUUUUUUUUUGGAUUUCAGUUUAUUUUUUUAAAGUUUUUUAAUUUAGGUGAAAUUUAUUAAUUAAUUAUUUAUUUUAUCUGUUUAAUCUAAAUUUUAGACCAGGAUUAGAUACCCUGUUAUUUUAGUUAAUUUUUUAUAAUCCAGUUAGUAAAUAAUUUUUUUUUAAAUUUAAAAGAUCUGGCGGUUUUUAAAUCUUUUUAGAGGAACCUGUAAUUUAAAUGAUAAUCCACGAUUUAUUUUACCUUAAUUAUUUUGUAUAUCUCUGUCGUUGAUUAUAAUGAAAAUUUAUUUUCUUAUUAUUUUAUAAUUAUUAUGUUAGGUCAAGGUGCAAUUAUAUUUGGGUUAUUAUGGGUUACUAUAAUUUUUUUUUUUUGAUUUUUUAAUUUAUAUUAAAAUUGAAUAUGGAUUUAAAAGUAAUUUUUUUUUUUUAAUUUUUUGAAUUGAGUUCUUAUAAAUGUACAUAUCGCCCGUCAUUCCCAUUAAUUGGGACAAGUCGUAACAAAGUAGAUGUACUGGAAAGUGUAUCUAGAAA